rnacentral:rRNA from 1 species
AUUUGAUUUUCUUCGGAAAUGAAGAUUUUGUGACUGAGUGGCGGACGGGUGAGUAACGCGUGGGUAACCUGCCUCAUACAGGGGGAUAACAGUUGGAAACGACUGCUAAUACCGCAUAAGCGCACAGGAUUGCAUGAUCCGGUGUGAAAAACUCCGGUGGUAUGGGAUGGACCCGCGUCUGAUUAGCCAGUUGGCAGGGUAACAGCCUACCAAAGCGACGAUCAGUAGCCGACCUGAGAGGGUGACCGGCCACAUUGGGACUGAGACACGGCCCAAACUCCUACGGGAGGCAGCAGUGGGGAAUAUUGCACAAUGGGGGAAACCCUGAUGCAGCGACGCCGCGUGAGCGAAGAAGUAUUUCGGUAUGUAAAGCUCUAUCAGCAGGGAAGAAGAAUGACGGUACCUGACUAAGAAGCACCGGCUAAAUACGUGCCAGCAGCCGCGGUAAUACGUAUGGUGCAAGCGUUAUCCGGAUUUACUGGGUGUAAAGGGAGCGCAGGCGGUGCGGCAAGUCUGAUGUGAAAGCCCGGGGCUCAACCCCGGUACUGCAUUGGAAACUGUCGUACUAGAGUGUCGGAGGGGUAAGUGGAAUUCCUAGUGUAGCGGUGAAAUGCGUAGAUAUUAGGAGGAACACCAGUGGCGAAGGCGGCUUACUGGACGAUAACUGACGCUGA